AAUCAACGCUGGCGGCGUGCCUAACACAUGCAAGUCGAACGCGAAAAGGGCUUCGGCUCUUAGUAGAGUGGCGAACGGGUGAGUAACACGUGGGUGACCUACCUUCGAAUGGGGGAUAACGUCCCGAAAGGGACGCUAAUACCGCAUAACAUCCUGCUUUUGAACAGGUGGAGAUCAAAGCCGGGGCUCGCAAGACCUGGCGUUUGAAGAGGGGCCCGCGUCUGAUUAGCUAGUUGGUGAGGAACGGCCCACCAAGGCGACGAUCAGUAUCCGGCCUGAGAGGGGCGGACGGACACACUGGGACUGAGACACGGCCCAGACUCCUACGGGAGGCAGCAGUAGGGAAUAUUGGACAAUGGGCGAAAGCCUGAUCCAAGCCAUGCCGCGUGAGUGAAGAAGGCCUUAGGGGUUGUAAAGCUCUUUUGGCGGGGAAGAUAAUGACGGUACCCGCAGAAUAAGCUCCGGCUAACUUCGUGCCAGCAGCCGC
rnacentral:rRNA from 1 species